rnacentral:rRNA from 1 species
UACGUAGGUGGCAAGCGUUGUCCGGAUUUACUGGGCGUAAAGAGCUCGUAGGCGGUCUGUCGCGUCGGAUGUGAAAAUCCAGGGCUCAACCCUGGACCUGCAUUCGAUACGGGCAGACUAGAGUUCGGUAGGGGAGACUGGAAUUCCUGGUGUAGCGGUGAAAUGCGCAGAUAUCAGGAGGAACACCGGUGGCGAAGGCGGGUCUCUGGGCCGAAACUGACGCUGAGGAGCGAAAGCGUGGGGAGCAAACAGG